GUCCCUGGGGCGCAAUGAAUAGCGGGUUGGACAUCUAAUCCAAAAGUCGUGGGUUCGACUCCCACCUGGGAUG